GGAUUUGAUUCUGUUUCAUGUUUUACAGUUAGUAUUGUUUUAUUUAUUUAUUUUUUGUUUUCGCAUUAGUGUGGUAAAACAUGUUAUUUUAUUUAUCUUUUAUACCUUAAAACCAUCACAACGGUCAAGAUUCCACUUUUUGAACCACUUGAUACACUCUUUGUUCAAUUUUGGAAUUUUACACUUGCUCGGGUAAGUCAGGUAUCAAAAUUAGCGCGAGCAGUUAAACAACAACUUUGCCCCCUUGUGAAACAAAUAAUAGAUUAAAUUAUGUAUGGUCUCUAUAAAUAAAACAUUGUUGUUGCAGGACAAACUCCACAGAAGAGGCCAGGAAGUAGACCCGAACCUUACCAAUGUGCUCACUGUAAAUUUACAACAGCCAGAAAAACCUCUUUGAUACGUCAUGUACAGACUCAUUCUGAAAACACCAUUUUCAGACAUGGCCAGUGUACUAAUGCCAGUGCAUACAAAGACUUAUCCACGAAAAUGUCAAAAAAUCAAAGUAAUUUUUAAACUGUUAUUGCAGCUAAACCAAGCAAGCGAGAGCAACCAAAUAAAUUCAGAAUUAAGAAGCAUAAAAUGGGGUUCAUAAUGCAUAUUUUUACAGACAUUCAUUUCCUUGAACCAGUGUUUUUUUUUCUGCUCCAUUUUUGAAACGCUAAUCGACUUAUAAUUAUUUAUUAAAACUCUCUAUGUUUUUACUAUACUAUUUCUACUGUUUUAUUAUUAUUGAACUCUAACAACAUUUUGGUGGUAACUACUGGGAAAAAAAUCCCGAUAGUUACCACCAAACCGAGUUGGUGGUAACUAGUGGGAUUUUUUUAUCCCAGUAGUUACCAGUGGUAAAGCAAAAGGUGGGAAAAAAAAAUCCCCGGAAGUUACCACUGGUAACAACUUGCUGGUAACUAGUGGGAAUAACCCUUUUUUUUGUAAAUUCGAUUUGAAGGUAUUGUAAAUGAUUUAUUACAUUAUGCCGGUUGUUGGUACAGAGGAAAAAACAUUCCUUAGGGAAGUGGGGCGCCGCGUGCAUAAAUGGGGCCUUCACCCAUGCUCCGGGUCAUUCCUGGUGCAAAGGCUGUCCAUCGCAAUUGAACGCCGUAACGCAGCGAGUGUGAUGGGCACCUUUGCGCCGGGGGUUGCGCGGGGAUGCCUCUUUCAAUAGUUUUUACAUUGCGUGUUUAAUUUUAUAUUUAAUUUAGAUUUAUUCACAGAUAUAUUUAGUUCAUAAGUUCUUUGUCUUUUUAUUACAUUGUUUUGUUGUAGCUGUAAUUGUACACGAAAUUGUAAUUUAAUUACUUAAAUAUUUUAGAUUAGGCUAAUUUAAUGUAUUGUACAGUCGCCAUCAGAUAUAUCGGAGCGGCCGAGGUGUUCACAAAUAUCUGAACACGCCUCUAUUGCGUGUUCAGAUAUUUUAGAGCACCUCGGCCGCUUCGAUAUGGCUGAUGGCGACUGUACAUUAAUUUAAAAAUAAACUGUAAAUAAUUUCAAUAGUUUUAGACGUUUUCUACUGUCCUUAUCUAGUUACAAAUACGGUGGUGGCAGAAUAACAGUGUUGCUGAAAGUCUUUAGGGCCGCUGUGCCCCGAGGCCUUUUGGCGCAGACGUUAGCUGAGCCUCUUUCCUUUUCAAUUAGUUUGUAAGCAUUAUUGUGUACUUUUAUUAUGUACCUAUAUUUAAACUUUUUGAAUCUUCUUUGCUUUGGCGCUGGUGGCCUAGCGGAAAAAGCGUGCGACUUGCAACAGCAAAUGCGGCAGCUCAAACCCCAGCUCGUACCAAUGAGUUUUUUGGAACUUACGUACAAAAUAUCAUUUGAUAUUUACCAGUCGCUUUUCGGAGAAAGAAAACAUCGUGAGGAAACUGGACUAAUCCCAAUAAGGCCUAGUUUACCCUCUAGGUUGAAAGGUUAGAUGGCAGUCGCUUUCGUAAAAACUAGUGCCUACGCCAAUUCUCGGGAUUAGUUGCCAAGCGGACCCCAGGCUCCCAUGAGCAGUGGCAAAGUGCCUAAGCUUGUAUAAACACUAUAAAUGGGUUUUUAUCUAUCUAUAGAGUAAACACUCUAAGCUUAACUAACUAUUCUAUAACUAUUCAGCCAUUUCAUGUGAAAUAAAUGUUUA